rnacentral:rRNA from 1 species
UACGAAGGGGGCUAGCGUUGCUCGGAAUUACUGGGCGUAAAGGGCGCGUAGGCGGCACUGUUAGUCAGGCGUGAAAGUCCUGGGCUCAACCUGGGAACUGCGCUUAAUACGGCAGAGCUAGAGGAUGGAAGAGGCUCGCGGAAUUCCCAGUGUAGAGGUGAAAUUCGUAGAUAUUGGGAAGAACACCGGUGGCGAAGGCGGCGAGCUGGUCCAUUACUGACGCUGAGGCGCGACAGCGUGGGGAGCAAACAGG